UAGGGAAUAUUGGUUAAUCUGCGAAAGCCUGACCCAGCAAUGCCGCGUGCAGGACGAAGUCCUUCGGGAUGUAAACUGCUGUCAGGGGUCCGCAAGCGAAGGGGUCCAACAGGCCCUGGAGUUGAGCAGCCCCAGAGGAAGCCUCGACUAACUCCGUGCCAGCAGCCGCGGUAAUGCGGAGGUUGCGAGCGUUGUUCGGAAUAACUGGGCGUAAAGGGAGCGCAGGCGGUCUGGUAAGUCUAAAGUGAAAGCCCGGGGCUUAACCUCGGAAGUGCUUUGGAUACUGCCGCACUCGAGUUCGUGAGAGGAAAGCGGAAUUCCAGGUGUAGCGGUGAAAUGCGUAGAUAUCGGGAAGAACACUCAUGGCGAAGGCAGUCUUCUGGGUCAUGACUGACGCUCAAUUGCGAAGGUGUGGGUAUCAAACA
rnacentral:rRNA from 1 species